GUCGAGACUCCAUCUGAGGAAGGGUCUCGACGCGAAACGUCACGCAUGCCUUCUAUCCAGAGAUGCUGCCAGUCCCGCUGAGUUACUCCAGCAUUUUGUGACUAUCUACAGGGAUUGAAUGGAUUCUUCUGAUUGAGACUGGGCUUAUUAACUGAGAAAUAAACCACAACAAUGUUUGUGUUGGCCUGAGGCAAGAGCCAGUGACGGAAAGUGCCCAGUCAGCAGAGGGAAUCAGGAUAAACACCAACCUGCCUCCCGUUUCCCAAAGCGUGGAUAAUAUUUCAACCCAGUGCUUUUGAUCAUUAGCGAUGAAUUGGGUCCAGGAAGCAGCUCACAUGAUUUGGAAUGAAGUAACUGCUAAGUGUGCAAACUCAGCAGCCAACUGCCCACACUGGUGAGCAACAGCAUUUAUUUUUUGCUGAUGCUGGAUGAGGGCCAGUGUUGGUCAAGAUCCUCUGAAUCAGUGUUAUGCUUCUUGGAGUUGGUGGACUGUGCAACUUACCCCUCUGUUGUUUCUGCCUGGGAUUCUCCCUCAAUCCAGACUUGUUAUGCCAACACAUGCCAGGAGGAUUAUUUGGUUGGAGUAGUUUGGUGUUUUUUUAAUUAUUUCAUUGUUUGGCAGUAAGCAAUGGUUGUGAGGGACAUGGGUGAACCCCUUGUAGUGCACAAAACGGACAGAAGUAUCUAAAUCAGGCAAAAAGCAGAGGCAAAAUAUGCCAGACGCUCAAGUAGACUGUAUGGUAUUCAUAAGGUCAUAAGGAAUAGGAGUAGAAUUAGGCCAUUCAGCCCAUCAAGUCUACUAUGCCAUUCAAUCAUGACUGAUCUAUCUCUCCCUCCUAACCCUAUUCUCCUGCCUUCUCCCCAUAACCUGACACCUGUACUAAUCAAAAAUCAAAAUCUAUCUCUGCCUUAAAAAUAUCCACCGUCUUGGCCUCCACAGCCUUCUGUGGCAAAGAAUUCCACAGAUUCACCACCCUCUGGCUAAAGAAAAUUCUCCUUCCUAAAAGAACAUCCCUUAAUUCUGAGGUUACGACCUCUAGUCCUAGUCCUAGAAACAUCCACUCUGCAUCCACUCUAUCCAAGCCUUUUACUAUUCUGUACGUUUCAAUGAGGUCCCCCCUCCUAAACUCCAGCAAGUACAGGCCGUGCUGUCAAACGCUCAUCAUAGGUUAACCUACACAUUCCUGGGAUCAUUCUUGUAAACCUCCUCUGGACCCUCUCCAGAGCCAGCACAUCCCUCCUCAGGUGUAUUGGUAGCAGGGAGGAAGAGCGAGCCAUGAGGAUCUGCCAAAGAUGGCAUGGGUGUCUGAUCUAGCACUCAGUACAUUCUUAGCAUUCAUUCUUGCCAUUAUCCUGAGCCCCAGUGUGAGCCAGAGGCCUUGUUCCUUCACAUAUCUCUCCAAGAUGCCUCCUGACAUUCACCAGCUCAGGCGCGCCACAAAAAUCACAAUUGGAGCCUCAAUCCCAAUUAAGUGAAGGCUGCCACUGAACUAAAGCCUGGGAAUUGGCCGUGGGGAGAUUGGUGGAUGAAAGUCCAUCUUCCAGAAUCUAAGAUGGGUCUGCUUCACCAAGCUUCUAAGCAAGGUGGUUAGACGUUGACCAGUCUAACAAAUCAGUGGGGGAUUGCCAACAGCCAGACGUCUACCUCCUCAUCCAAAACAAAGGUGAACAGCAACUGCUUGCUGGGAGCCAUGUCAGAUAUCACGCCCAUUUCUGAGGUGCAGAUCUUAUAAUGUAGUCAAUUAUAGAACGAGGUGUUGUCCCUCGAGCAAUACUUAGACAAUCUAACUCCAAAAUCAUUGAGCCAGCCGAGCACAUCAAUUUCCCAUUACAUCUACUAGCUGGUUUCAGACCUCCCUGAAACCCAACGGCCCUUAACAAGUAGAGACUGUCCUUAAUCUAUAAUGGUGUUAGCAUUCCGCUACCAAACUUUAUUUUUUAAACUGUGGUGAUAACUAAGAGAUGCGCAAGAAUACUGUAGCUUCAACGUAUCACAGUCAGUUAUGUUUACAGACGACAGUGGGUGGUACGUGUGGUUAAACCCGACUGCGACAUUGUGAAAUACUACUGGAUAACUGCUGGCCACUCGAGUAGCCUUAAGCUUUUUGCAGCGGUUUCUCUGUCGACCACUGGGAGCAGCACGAGGGUCCGACAAGUGAAGGCCAUGCUGGCAAUUCCUUCACUGCAGCUGUAGGUCAUUUGUAGCACUCCUAAUCUACUUCAGACUUGCAGAGUUGAAUUUACUUUUUAAUCUGAAGAUCAGUAAUGGGACCUGGUGCUGGAAUAAAAUUCUCACAGGGCACAUUAUAUCUGUCCCACCUGGUUAUGUGAGUGUAAACACUGCACACCUUGUGGUAUAAAUUGAAUACUUGAACAUGACAGGGCAAAACCAUUUCUGAGUGGUUAUGCCCAAUGUACUGUACCUGUUAUUUAUUCCAGCUGUUGAAAUGAACGGUUAAGGUUUUCUCACUUUAACGAGAGUUGUCUAUAGUUUGAGAAUUGUUGUAUGUGUAAGAAGGUUAUACUGGAAUAUUUCCCCACCCCUCCUCCAUGACUGGUAGACAAAAUAAAGUGAUACCAAAACCAUU